UACAGAGGUCUCAAGCGUUGUUCGGAUUCAUUGGGCGUAAAGGGUGCGUAGGUGGCGCUGUAAGUCGGGUGUGAAAUUUCGGAGCUUAACUCCGAAACUGCAUUCGAUACUGCGGUGCUUGAGGACUGGAGAGGAGACUGGAAUUCAUGGUGUAGCAGUGAAAUGCGUAGAGAUCAUGAGGAAGACCAGUGGCGAAGGCGGGUCUCUGGACAGCUCCUGACACUGAGGCCCGAAGGCCAGGGGAGCAAACGGG
rnacentral:rRNA from 1 species